rnacentral:rRNA from 1 species
AAAUGAAUAGACGGGCACCCGCACAAGCGGUGGAGCAUGCUGUUUAAUUCGAAGAUACGCGAAGAACCUUACCUAGAUUUGACAUCCCCGGCAAUGCUAUGGAAACAUAGCGGAGGUUACCCGGGAGACAGGUGGUGCAUGGUUGUCGUCAGCUCGUGUCGUGAGAUGUUUGGUUAAGUCCAAUAACGAGCGCAACCCUUAUCUUUAGUUGCUAACAUUUAGUUGAGAACUCUAAAGAUACUGCCAGUGUAAGCUGGAGGAAGGUGGGGAUGAGGUCAAAUCAUCAUGCCCCUUACAUCUAGGGCUACAGGCGUGCUACAAUGGCCAAUACAACGAGUCGCAAUGCGGUGACGCAAAGCUAAUCUCUUAAAGUUGGUCCCAGUCCGGAUUGGAGUCUGCAACUCGACUCCAUGAAGUUGGAAUCGCUAGUAAUCCCGAAUCAGAAUGUCGGGGUGAAUACGUUCCCGGGUGUUGUACACACCGCCCGU